rnacentral:lncRNA from 1 species
GAAAGAGUGACAUUUUAUAAUGGUGACACAUCUUACUAUACAUGGUGAAUUUUCUAUUGUGGCUGAAUCACGGAAUUUUAUAAUUUGUCCAUAAGACUGGCAAAUUUGUGACUUCUGCUGUAAUAUGCUAUUUUCCCCUCUAGGGAUAUCUUUGAAGCAUUUGCUGGUUGUCUCCGAGGAACUAAAUAAUUGUGUGAUGCUUCUCCUGUUUCACCUGUGACAGUGAAGGAUAUCUUCCAAAGGAUAGACAGAAGCAGCAGCUAAGUACAGUUACUGAAGAUUUGCUUUCUGACAGAGACCUGAGCAGCACCUCUGAUAGCACCAGGAAGCAUAGCUCUGCACAGUUCGAUGCUCUGUGAAAUAUCACAACAGUGUAUGCCAAGUCUUUCCCAUUUACUUCGGGGUCAAAUCUUCAAAAAGGCACACACACACAUUUAUCUGUCCAGAACAGUCAUGGUGAUUUUAUCAAACAAAAUAAAGCUGAGAUCAUGAGGAUCAUACUAUGCCUGUCCAAGAGCUCCGAAGACAUCUUCCCAUUUUGUGGAAGAGAGCUCAUAAAAUCUGUGGAGAUUUAGUUGUUUAGUUUCUAGUUAACUGUUUUCCUAGUGGCCAAGAACAUUUAUACAAUUGCAUUAUUCCACCUCUAUCAUAUUUGAUUGUAUUACAUUUUCUAAUAUAAAGACUGAACUCACACACUUGCAAGUGCCAUGAAUAUACAUAUAACAUGAUUUAAAAUGUCUUAACCUCUCUGGAGCAUCUGCCUGUUCAUAUUUGCUAUUACAGUGUUAUGGUGGCUGCCUUCAGCAGGGAUAAGUAAUUCGUCUACAUUUUCUUUUAUUCUCAGAAGAACAUACAAAAUAGUGAUGUUAAUUGCCAACAUUAUAUAUCCUCAGCAAUGGUAGAUCUUACUCUUAAUGAAAAAUCUCACAGGAUAAACUAGGUAAAGAAGAGGAAAUGAUAUCUUUUUCUUGUAUGUAUUUUCCUUUAUCAGAAAAAAAAAAAAGAUCCUGAAAAAUGGCAUGAUCCUCUACCUACAUUGACAACAGAAAUUCUUUAAGUGAAACAAGAAAUUUCCUUUCACGCCAGUUUCCAUUUUCUUGCUCAUAACCUUGUCCAGAGAUAGAUAUAGCCUAUUAUAUCUAAAACAAUGAGAGUUAAAACUGAGCUAUUUUGUGCUAGAACUGCAGGAUGAUACAUCAAAUCUCUCAAAGGUUUCACUUGUCAUGAGCAUUUUUUGUUCUUAUGUUUAUAGAGAUACUUGUAUUAGUGACCUAUUCUUAUGAGAGACCUCUGCUCCCUUUUCAAUUAAUAGUUAAUCUGUCUUAAAGUCUCUGUCUGCUCAUGGCACCUAGACUGAUGGGUUUUGUAGUAACUCUGCUUCCAGUGAAGUUAGCAAGAAUUUUAUUAUCUAUUUCCCUAAGCAAGAGAAUUUACAGAAACUCUAUGUUGCUCUAUCUUCAAGAUCAUCUCCUGAGUAUCAAAUGACAAGUAGGCAAGACAAAAAAAGGAAAAAAACACAUAUUUGAAGCAGCAUAAGCAACAAAACAGAUUUUCUUCCACAACUUUCAAACUUAGGAGCAAAAGAAAAAUACACUUUAUGAAUAAUAUCCCACUACUGAGCACCUAGAGGCCCACAGAAAUCCUUUGCACACACUAGUUAUGUAACGCAUUUUUAAUGAGUUUCAAAUCAAGUACUUUAAUGUCUCCUGAUGAGCUAAAUUACCUUUAGACCUGAUCAAGUUAUUGCACAACAUACUCACCCAAUACAUUACCUCUUUUAAUUCAUAAACUGAUUAAUUCCUUAAUAUUAUAGAUCUAUUAUCAACAACAAUCUACUUUCUUAAAGUAUCCUCAGUGAAAUAAAGCAGGAAUGCAAGGACA